AUCUUCCCCAAUUGGCUAAAAAGAAGUGACGUCAGGCUUGAGGUAUCAGGAAGUCCCCGUUCCUCACAACAGCGCGAAAUUUCGAAGCUGCUCCCCAAAGUUUCUCGACUAAAUGGCUGACAAUCCUUCAAAGUCUAAACUGAAACGUAGAAAAACUGCUGUGGAGGAUGUCCAGUCGGAUACAUGUUCAAGAGGAACACAGAAAAAGAGUCAUACGUCGAUAAUCUCUGGUGACGUCACGGUCUCAGAGGCUCAAAGGUCUGGGAUUCCUGCAGGCCUGUGGUGGAGCAGAGAGCAGCAUCCUGCUGUGGAGGCUCUGUGGGCCCUGACAAUGAGUCUGCUCUGCCGUACCUGCAGAAUCAGCACUGGGACCUGGUUCCUGAACUCCCAGAGCCCUCUACAGUGAGAUUCUCAGCUCUAAAGGAAGACGAUCUGCAGUGGUGUGACCUCAGAGAGGAGGUCCCCCCAUUCCCUGAACCUCCUCCAAACCUCCAUCAAGUCCAUGUCCUGUCAGGCCCUCCUCCCAGCAGGUUCUCCCAGUUCAGACCAAACCUGUACUAGACUCUACAGACCCACAGCUGUCCUCACACAGCAGGAGGAGUCUCAACAUCAAGAAAACAUGUCUACAAGGUAAAAGAGGAUCAGGUGUUGUAGGGACAGAGGAGAGGAAAGUAGGACGGACAGAUGACAGACCAAGCCAACUAAAGGUAUCGGACCGCCCUGUCUUUAUGGAGGAGGAAGGUCAGAAUACAAAGCAGAAGAAGAGGAGUGAGAAAGGAGAUGGAGCAGCAGGUGGAGGAGCAGGAGGAGGAGGAGUGCUGCAGAGCUGCCCCAUGUGCCUGCUGGAGUUCCCUGUUGGGUUCACACAGAUGGACCGUGAUGGCCACCUGGCCCAGUGUCUGUCCGAGGUAAACGCGGACGUCACCUGGUGAGGGGGCGGGGCUCUGGCUGCCCUAUCCUCCUCAUCAUCCUCCUCCUCACAGGGUGCGGGAAUGUUUCAUACGGAGGGGGACACACCCAGAGAGCAGCUGACACAGAGACAGACUCUAAGGUGGAGGUAUUCCCAAACAUACUGGACGUUAUGAAAGUAUGUUAUUAAUUUAUUCUCCUACAUUUGAAGCUCCGGUCAGAAUCUGAGGACCCUGCUGUUGUAUUUUAAUUCCCCCUCUCUGGCUCCAGAUCCCUUUUUACCUCUCCUUUAUCAUUCCCACUUGUCCUCGAGUGAUUCUGGUUCUAGCUGGUCAAGAGGAUCUCCAAAAUAAAAUAACAAUCCAGCCCUCCACAAUAAAACCAGGCCACAGCCUCCUCACAGAAACAUGUCAGAGAGUGGGUGAAUGUAAUUGGACAGCUGCACAGAAAUAACAACUGACUCAUCUACAGCCUAAAAAACUGCAACUGUUAUCCUCAUUUAUUAAAUUCUGUGCUUGAAAUUCAUAAUUGUUCGCGAAAA